AAGGAAUAUUGCUCAAUGGGAGAAAUCCUGAAGCAGCAACGCCGCGUGGAGGAUGAAGGGUCUAUGACUUGUAAACUCCUGUAAAGAAGGAAAAAAUUCCCGUUUGAUGGGAGAUGAUGGUACUUCUGGAGUAAGCCCCGGCUAACUACGUGCCAGCAGCCGCGGUAAUACGUAGGGGGCAAGCGUUGUCCGGAUUUACUGGGUGUAAAGGGUGCUCAGGCGGAUUUGUAAGUCAGAGGUGAAAUCUUACAGCUUAACUGUGAAACUGCCUUUGAUACUGCAAGCCUAGAGUAUGGAAGAGAGUGAUGGAAUAUCUGGUGUAGCAGUGAAAUGCGUAGAUAUCAGAUAGAACACCAAUGGCGAAGGCAGUCACUUGGUCCAUUACUGACGCUAAAGCACGAAAGCGUGGGUAGCAAACA
rnacentral:rRNA from 1 species